AGCAGCCGCGGUAAUUCCAGCUCCAAUAGCGUAUAUUAAAGUUGUUGCAGUUAAAAAGCUCGUAGUUGAAUUUCGGGACCAUCAUGUCGGUCGUGCCUCGGUACGUACUGGCAUUGUUGGUUUCUCCCUUCUGACGAACCAUGAUGUCAUUUAUUUGGUGUUGUGGGAAAUCAGGACUGUUACUUUGAAAAAUUAGAGUGUUUAAAGCAGGCUCACGCUUGAAUACAUUAGCAUGGAAUAAUGAAAUAGGACGUUUGAUUCUAUUUUGUUGGUUUCUAGGAUCGAUGUAAUGAUUAAUAGGGAUAGUUGGGGGCAUUAGUAUUCAAUUGUCAGAGGUGAAAUUCUUGGAUUUAUUGAAGACUAACUACUGCGAAAGCAUUUGCCAAGGAUGUUUUCAUUAAUCAAGAACGAAAGUUAGGGGAUCGAAGACGAUCAGAUACCGUCGUAGUCUUAACCAUAAACUAUGCCGACUAGGGAUCGGAUGAUGUAAUUUUUAAUGU
rnacentral:rRNA from 1 species